rnacentral:lncRNA from 8 species
GGGGGUGACAUGUGCACACACAUGACACACACACGACACACACACACUCUCACACAAUUGCCGGGGAGGUUCUCCAUGUCGAUUAGUCAUCUACAGCAGAGUAUUGAAAAGGGCUCCAUUUGAUUUGCUUGCGGCUGAUUCUCUCCUUGUGGCAAACAAACUUUGCUUCCGUCUGACGUUGCCUGAUGUGGAGGGAGGUUCAAGGAAAAGACUUUGGCUCAGGGCUUUUCAGGGCGACGAAGCUAGGCGGGAGAACUCUUGAUUACCCGCACCUGCAUCUCAUCAGCCAUCUGCACACCUGGUCCUGAUCAUCACCUCUUCUCUUCAUAAGCCCUGACCUGACAUCCAUUCCCUGCCGGAUCGUUAGCAAUGAACAGUAUGUUGUGUCAGUGUAUCAGCCUCAUGUUACCAGAGUUAGUUUUGUUGUUCUGUACUUUUUGCCGGUUACUCACCCCCGUUUACUCUGUCUACAGUCAUCCUCCCAGAACAUUCAACUCCCUUGCCUGGCCGUCGGUGGUUUCAGUGACAUCAUUGGAGCUGCCUAUUCACUCUCAUCAACUCACCUCCGCUGCCGCUCCGUCUCCUGGAUUAUUCUAUUUUCACCUCGAGACUCACUCCGCCAAUCAGACCUUUAUGGAAGUGCCCAGAUGGAAGCCACUCCUAAGUAAAAGGCACAUGACAGCCCACUUGGAGUUUGCCAAAAGGCACCUAAAGGACUCUCAAACCAUUAGAAACAAGAUUCUCUGGUCUGAUGAAACCAAUAUUGAACUCUUUGGCCUGAAUGUCUUCAGUCACAUCUGGAGGUAACCUGGCACCAUCCCUAUGGUGAAGCAUGGUGGUGGCAGCAUCAUGAUGUGGGGAUGUUUUUCGGUAGUAUGGUCUGGGGUACUAGUCAGGAUGGAGGGAAAGAUUAACAGAGCAAAGUAGAGAGAUUCCUGAUGAAAACCUGCUCCAGAGCGCUCAAGACCUCAGACUGGGGCAAAGGUUCACCUUCCAACAGGGCAACAACCCUACAGUAAGCACACAGCCAAGACAACGCAGGAGUGGCUUCAGGACACGAGGCUGUAAUUACACGAGGCUGUAAUGCCAAUGGUGCUUCAACAAAGUACUGAGUAAAGGGUCUGAAUACUUAUGUAAAUGUGAGGUUUUUAUUUGUAAUACAUUCGCAAAAAUGUAUAAAACCCUUUUUUUGCAUUUCAGUAUAAGUCUGUAACAUAAAAUGUGGAAAAAGUCAAGGGGUCUGAAUACUUUCUGAAAGCACUGUAUAUCGUUUGGCUGUAUGUAUUUUUAGAUAUAGGCCUAUUGUAAAUGUGUUUUAACGUUGCAUCACCAUCUUUAUUGCAAAAAUAAAUUAAAGUACAAACAUAACUUUAAGCAACAUAUUAUUUUGACAGGGGUAAUGAUUUGUCAAUUGAUCAGCACAGCAAUUGAUAAAACAGGACAAUUUGACACACAAGGGGUUCUGAGUUUAUGUCAAUAUUACACAGGUAAUCUAACAGCUACAGAAAUCCGGAAUGUAGACAGGCUUUAUCUAUCUGAGCUACUGUGUUAUGUUGGGCACCUACUGACCAAAAAAUUAUGUCAUUAUGAUUUUUUUUAUGACAUGUAUUGCUAAAAUAAAGGUUUAAGGAAAUACAUGCAUACACCACAUUAUUACAAGACUAAACAGCUC